rnacentral:rRNA from 2 species
GCGGCGGACGGGUGAGUAACACGUGGGCAACCUGCCCCUUAGACUGGGAUAACUCCGGGAAACCGGAGCUAAUACCGGAUAAUCCCUUUCUCCACCUGGAGAGAGGGUGAAAGAUGGCUUCGGCUAUCACUAAGGGAUGGGCCCGCGGCGCAUUAGCUAGUUGGUAAGGUAACGGCUUACCAAGGCAACGAUGCGUACCCCACCUGAGAGGGUGAUCGGCCACACUGGGACUGACACACGGCCCACACUCCUACGGGAGGCAGCAGUAGGGAAUCUUCCGCAGUGGACGAAAGUCUGACGGAGCAACGCCGCGUGAGUGAGGAAGGCCUUCGGGUCGUAAAGCUCUGUUGUGAGGGAAGAAGCGGUACCGUUCGAAUAGGGCGGUACCUUGACGGUACCUCACCAGAAAGCCACGGCUAACUACGUGCCAGCAGCCGCGGUAAUACGUAUGUGGCAAGCGUUGUCCGGAAUUAUUGGGCGUAAAGCGCGCGCAGGCGGCUUCUUAAGUCUGAUGUGAAAUCUC